AAACCACGCCCCUUUCUGCCGAAGCUGGCCCCUCAACCAUGGAUGAGAGCUCAAACAUACCGUGUGAGCUUAACCUGCUCCAUCCAAAUGUCCUACAAGUGACAAUGAUGUCUAAUAAAUCUGAAAGGUACACGGGCCAUAAAGUGUGAUGGACAACUUGUGUUGGUGCCUCAAGGUCCAUGGUAAAGCUGACUUCGAAAGGUCAGAGGGAGAGAGACGGGGCUCCUUGGCUGCACCAGAGGAGCAGAAUUCGUUUUUACUAGAGGAAGCAUAGCGGUGGAAGGGGGGCGAUGAGGGUCUUCUACUGAGGCCCAAAAAUUCUCUUUGGAAAGUGACCAUCAGUAAACCCCCCAUCCAUCUUAUUGUGUUCAUUAAAGAGUUAAUGCGAAGA